GAUUCUAAUAUGGAUGUAAUUUUAUCUGCCACUCAUAUACCACAAGAACCUGCACAAAUAACUGAAAAUAUACAAAGUACCUGGAUGAAAUAUCUUCUUCCAGAAUGGACAUUGUACACCUUGUAUUCACAGUGAAAAGUACACAAGAAUAUUCCAGCGUUGGAUAGAUACAACAGUGGAUUUAUGUUUGCAGGAAUCACCUGGAAAAGGUCCAAGUGAGAGCAGGUUUGCCACCCCCAAGAUGCCAGUUCAAAAGACAACUAACCUCUGAAAAUCAUGGAACCACAGAACAUAGAGUGCCACGCAUGCCUCUCAGAUGAUGUUCUAGCAACACAGACAAGCUACAAAUAGCCAGAUAAAUCUAAGACAAGGAGAAAGAAACAAAAAUCCCAACAGAGCAGUACAGACCAAGCACACCCCCCUCCUCACAUUGUCUCACAGUUCACUGGGGCAGAUGCUCCCUCAAAUGCUCCAGUAAUUCUGUUCUGGCAGCGUAGAGGAUGCCACAAAUUGCUACCAUCCCCUGUACCACUGUGGUUCCUUUGCUCUGGCUUAUUAGCUUAAUCUAGAAGUAUGCUGACUUGGAACUAGAGUCUGAUCCUGCAAGAUCUUUCCUUAAAGCUUAAUAGCUAACAGAAUAACUGUUAUUCUGUAACUGUCAUUUGUUUCUUCAGUCACACAUUAUGUGUGAAUUCAGUAUGAAUUCUCUCUUUACAAAUGUCACAAAAGUAUGCAAAUGUCACACUGCUCAUACGUUGAGGGUGAGAUACAUUGAAUGUCUGACUAGUGAUAGGAUGCUUUCUCCUGUUCUGAACAAGCAAUCUGAUAAUAAAAGUCAAGGCCAAAGCCACAGAACCACACUAACUUUAAUUACCUUGAAACAAAAAGAAUAAACUUUCAACAGCCCUGAGAUGACAUCUACUGGCAGGAGAUUGCAACAGUGUAGGGCACAACCAGGAAG